rnacentral:rRNA from 1 species
AUUGAACGCUGGCGGCAUGCCUUACACAUGCAAGUCGAACGGUAACAGGUCUUCGGAUGCUGACGAGUGGCGAACGGGUGAGUAAUGCAUCGGAACGUGCCCAGUUGUGGGGGAUAACUGCUCGAAAGAGCAGCUAAUACCGCAUACGACCUGAGGGUGAAAGCGGGGGAUCGCAAGACCUCGCGCAAUUGGAGCGGCCGAUGUCAGAUUAGGUAGUUGGUGGGGUAAAGGCCUACCAAGCCGACGAUCUGUCGUUGGUCUGAGAGGACGACCAGCCACACUGGGACUGAGACACGGCCCAGACUCCUACGGGAGGCAGCAGUGGGGAAUUUUGGACAAUGGGCGCAAGCCUGAUCCAGCAAUGCCGCGUGCAGGAAGAAGGCCUUCGGGUUGUAAACUGCUUUUGUCAGGGAAGAAAUCCUCUGGGUUAAUACCCCGGGGGGAUGACGGUACCUGAAGAAUAAGCACCGGCUAACUACGUGCCAGCCGCCGCAGUAAAAC